rnacentral:rRNA from 1 species
AUUGAACGCUGGCGGCGUGCUUAACACAUGCAAGUCGAUCGGUAACAGGUGUAGCAAUACAUGCUGACGAGAGGCGGACGGGUGAGUAAUGCUUGGGAAUCUGCCUAUUAGUGGGGGACAACCCGGGGAAACUCGGGCUAAUACCGCAUACGCUCUACGGAGGAAAGCCGGGGACCGCAAGGCCUGGCGCUAAUAGAUGAGCCCAAGUCGGAUUAGUUAGUUGGUAGGGUAACGGCCACCAAGGCGACAAUCCGUAGCUGGUCUGAGAGGACGACCAGCCACACCGGAACUGAGACACGGUCCGGACUCCUACGGGAGGCAGCAGUGGGGAAUAUUGGACAAUGGGGGCAACCCUGAUCCAGCGACGCCGCGUGGGUGAAGAAGGCCUGCGGGUUGUAAAGCCCUUUCGGUGGGGAAGAAAAGUCUCGACCUAAUACGUCGGGACCUUGACGUAACCCACUAAAGAAGCACCGGCUAACUCUGUGCCAGCCGCCGCAGUAAG